rnacentral:rRNA from 1 species
GAAAGCAGGUCAUAGUGAUCCGGUGGUUCUGAAUGGAAGGGCCAUCGCUCAACGGAUAAAAGGUACUCCGGGGAUAACAGGCUGAUACCGCCCAAGAGUUCAUAUCGACGGCGGUGUUUGGCACCUCGAUGUCGGCUCAUCACAUCCUGGGGCUGAAGUAGGUCCCAAGGGUAUGGCUGUUCGCCAUUUAAAGUGGUACGCGAGCUGGGUUUAGAACGUCGUGAGACAGUUCGGUCCCUAUCUGCCGUGGGCGCUGGAGAACUGAGGGGGGCUGCUCCUAGUACGAGAGGACCGGAGUGGACGCAUCACUGGUGUUCGGGUUGUCAUGCCAAUGGCACUGCCCGGUAGCUAAAUGCGGAAGAGAUAAGUGCUGAAAGCAUCUAAGCACGAAACUUGCCCCGAGAUGAGUUCUCCCUGAGACUUAGAGUCUCCUGAAGGAACGUUGAAGACGACGACGUUGAUAGGCCGGGUGUGUAAGCGCAGCGAUGCGUUGAGCUAACCGGUACUAAUGAACCGUGAGG